AAAAUACUGACGCAAAUUGGAAUUGAAUAGAAAAAACAUAUAGAAAUUGAUAACAUCAAUCCCACCCAAAUCUUAUUUCUCCUCUUAUUUCCAUUGUCACUUUUGAUUCAACUACAAUGAUAAGGAAGUACUAAAAAUCAGAAAAAAUGAGUGCCAAUAAUUCAUGCCUUUCAUUCCGCAAAUACAAAAGCGAAAGAAAGGGUUUGAUUGCAUCUACCAGUUUGGGUUUCCUGUGUCCAGACAUAAUCGAACAGCAAAAAGAAAAAAGAAAUCGAGGUAAAAAAAACCAUGUAAGAGCAAUAAAGCAAUGAAGAAGCAAGAAUACUGACAUAGAAUCGAUGGAAUAAUACCAUAGAACCCCUGAAUUUUAACAAUUUUGAUGAAUUUCCUUAACUUUACUCGAACCAACAAAAGCGUAAAGGUUUCAUAACAAAGAUCAUCCUUGUUCUGAAUGUGGCUAUUCGUAUUUAAGCAAAAUCCAUGUUCCACGGUUUAAUAGCCAUGUCUCAAUUAAGCAUUGAGAAAAGCCUCAAAUAUCCUCAAAUACAAUUGUAAAAACUUUAAGCCAACAUGUCGAAACUACAACUUUUCUUAAAUUCAAGUUUAUUAGCUGGCUCCUGUCUCAUAAGAAGUUUAGUCUCAAGGCGAACAACUGAAAAACCAAAAAACAAAUCCAAAACUGAGCGGGUGUCAAGUUUAAAAAUGCAUUUUAUCGCUCAAUUUAACACACACCAACUAUAACAACAACAACAAUCCAGUAUAAUCCCAUUUAAUGGGGUCCAGGGAGAGUAGUGUGUACGCAUAUCUUACCCCUACCCUUGGGUAAAGAGGCUGUUUCCAAAUAGACCUCUGGCAUCCUUCCCUCCAAGAACUUCUCACCUUCCUCUUGGGGAGACUCGAACUCACAACCUCUCGGUUGGAAGUGGAAUUGGAAGUGGGAGUUGCUUACCAUCAGAGCAACCCCUCUUGUCAUAGCACACACCAAUUAUGAGGUUGCAAAAUUAAACUUCAUCAACAGAGCCCAAAAGAAGAAGGGAAAAAACGAUGAGGAAAAUCAGCCAUGACAUUGCAAAAUUUAGAAGGUAAGGAGAAUCGAGAAAAAGCAUGAAAAUAAAUAAAGAUGUAGAGUAGACAAAAAAAAGAACAGAACCCAUGAAAUUUGAGUAAGCAUUGUACACUAUACCAAAAAAAAAUCAUUUUAAAUUAGGCUUAAUGCCCAUACCAGUACUAUCAACGGACAGAGAUUUGAGAAGCCAUUGAUCUCAACAACAAAAAACUCCAUGUGGGCUGAAACUAAUUGAAUGAGCAAAAGAAGGAGAAACAAAUGCAAAACUACAAAUUUGAAGUGGAAGAGGGUACAAAAGAAGUAUGAACAGAACACAUGAAACUUGAGUAAGCACUGUAACACUAUACCCAUAAUUUUCUUCCUUUUAAUUAGGUAUGAUACCCAUACCAGUAUCAUUAUUGAUCUCAACAAAAAAAUUACAUGUCGGGUGAAACUAAUUGGAAAAGCAGAAAAAGGAGAAACAAAUACAAAAUUACAAAACUGAAGUUGAAGAUUAAGGGAUUGUUUAAUAUAUCAUAUGCACAGCAUAAAUCAUGGGCAAAAUUGAUUAAAAUCGUAUUUGUAGGUAGAAGGAAUUUGAGGAAGAUGAAGAGAAUUGGAGAAGCAAUCGAGAAUUUGAAAGUUUUUUUUUUAUGCACAAAGAAAUCGGGUGAAAACCUAAUAUGCUCCCUAGAACACACGUGCACUCAUUCCACGUACAGUCGACGUGAAAUGACUUAACUACCCCCAAGCUUUUAUAAAAAAACUUUUAAGCACACAGGUCGAAACCACUAGCUUUUCUAAUAUAUAGUAAUAUAUUACCAAAGUUCUCAUCAAAUUUUUUAGUUUCCCAUUUGGUCGCAGAUAUUUAUUUUAGCAUCCACUUAAUUUAAAGUCGCAACAAAAUAUCCUACUUUAAGGGGUACAAUGCUCCAUACUUCGUAUAAUAUUUUUAUCAAUGAAAUUAUGAAGGGGAACUAUGGAGCAACAGUAAAGUUGUUUCUGUGUUAUAGAAUUUGAACCGUGAAAUCAGUCACUGAUAACUAUAUUAAGGGAAAAGCCAACCCACUUAUAUCGUGGCCCUUUCCGAUUCUAUGUGAACUCGAAAUGUUUCGUGUGCCAAGCCAUCAAUGGAACUUUGCAAGACCUACUUCUAGAAAAGGAAAAAGACGAGUAACACGUGGGUUACAUACGUACGUUUUUAUUUUACUUAUUUCUUUUACAAAUGGUGCAAAAAGAAAAGGAAAGGGAAGAAGUGAAAGAGAGGGGGAAUUGUGUUUGUUGACAGACCACCUACUUAAUGACAUCACUAAUCAAAUCAAAGUUUGGCUUUUUAGAUUUCUCUAACUAAUCUAAUCAAAGUUUGUUUUUGUAGGUUUCUCUAACUAAAGUUGUAGUUAGAAUUUAGAACCUAUCAAAUCAAUAACAUUAUUACUUUAAUAGACACGCCAAACAUAAGAAGACUUUUGUAAUCUUUAACUACAUCAUCGCUAUAGACAUAAUCCUAUUACUGUUCUUACAAUAUUUUAAUUCUAAUCUUUAACCACCACAGUCACUUUUUGAAGUUUUAACCAUCAUCCAUUCAAUGACCAAAUAACAAACCAAGUAUCUAUUUGCUAUAUUGUGCAGAUUUUCCGAAAAUAUCCCUAAUGCGUGUUAGAUUCUCCAAAAUAGUAUAUUUUGAAGGAUCCGAUAUGAGUGCGACAACAUUUUGGAGAGUUCGUGCACCAUAGUUUAUUAGUGACUUAUGGUGUAGGAUUUUUAAUUUCACCAAAGAUUUUCACCUCCUCCAAUGUAGGAAUUUUAAUUUCACCAAAGAUUUUCACCUCCUCCCACUGUUUUGGAGCAACGGUAAAGUUGUUUCCGCGUGACCUAUAAAUCAAAGGUUCAAGCCGUGGGAGCAGUCACUAAUGCUUGUCGUCUACAUCACACACUUUGAGAUGUAGCCCUUUCACAGAUUCUGCUUGAACGCGGAAUGCUUUAUGCAUCAGGCUGUCCAUUUUGACCUCCUCCCACUAUUCAUGAGUACAUCCCCAAUAAAAAACGACAACCCAGUGCAUUAAGCUCCCGCUACGCCAGGGGUCUGUGGAAGGGCCGGCUACAAGGGUCUAUAGUACGUAUUCUUACCCUGCAUUUCUGCAAGAGAAUGUUUCCACGACUCGAACCCAUAACCUCUUAGUCACUUGGCAGCAACUUUACCAGUUACGCCAAGGUUCUCUUUCGGUACAUCCCCAAUAAAAGAACAAAAAAAGUACUACUUCUAUAGUAAGCUUCUAGUCCUAAUCAUACAUACCCUUGCUGCAAUGAGGAAUGAAUCAGAUAUGCUAUCUUUCUAACCUUCAAGUUUUAUCAAUUCUUGAAAAGAAUCUUAAAAGUUUCCUUUUCUGUUAAACAGAGAUGUUUUCACUAGUUUUGGGCGCAUCUAACAUUAGAGUAUAACGAGUAUAAUGAGUUUUUAUACCAUCAUGUCAUCAAAAGGAUAUCUACAGGUAAACCUUCUUAAAAUAUUGAAUUUGUAAAUUAAACUGACAAUGCAUAUCGCUUAAACUCUUAACUCGAAGAGCACAUAUUUCCUUUAGUAAGUGUGAGACAAAGAUAGGUGGUAAUAUAAUCAUAACAACAAACUUCAGUUUGUUGGAUAUAACAUCUUUGAAUGUUAAGUAAAAACCAUAAUAUUGAUAUUUCCUUGAAAAUAAAAGAUAUAACUAACUCAAAGAAUUAUUUGCGCUAUUUCUGCUGGAGUUACUAAUGCUCUUUUGUUUUUGUUUUUCCUUUCCUUAGUACUCCAGAGAGGCUUACGGUAUAUUUCUCAAUUCUUCAAUUUAACUAGUUGCUUUUUAAAUGACAUUGCACAGAGUAUAUCAAUAAAUUUAUUAAAGGGUGUCUUCGAUCCACUAGUUGCUUUUGACCUGUGUUUUGGAUUGUGUCUUUCUUAUGGUAGUUAUUUAUGGUAGUUAAUGUAUGAUAUUAUUGCAUGCUAUUUUAUUUAUUUAUUUAUGGUUCUUAUGUUUAGAUAACUAUUUACGCCAUUUCUGCUGGACUUACUAAUGCCCUUUUGUUUUUAUUUUUGUUUUUGUUUUUCCCUUUCCUUCACUGGGCCGAGGGUCGAUUGGAAACAGCCUCCCUGCCCUUUUGGGUAGGGGUAAAGCUCGUCUACAUAUUACCCUCCCCAGACCCCAUUUUGUGGGACUAUACUGGGUAGUAGUUGUUGUUGUUGUUGUAACUCAAAGAAAAAGACUUAAAAUGUAAGCAUUAUUCAUGAAAAUUUAUGCUGUUAGAGAUAGGCUAAGUGGUUGAACCAACACCUUCUACAGGGUGUUGAACUAAGUUUUUGAAAACAUAAUGUGGUCAAACUAAGAUUACUUAAUUCUCUCUUCUUUUCUCCCUAUAAAACCAUAGCCUCAACUCUACUAUCUUUCACAAACAAGCAUUGAAUUGCAUCUACUAAUACUCAAAAAAGAGUUUUAAGGAAAGGAAAAAAAAAUGAAGGCUUUUAAUAGUAUUGCUAACCCUUUGAGUUCUUUCUUCUUUCUAUGCAUUUUGCUUCUCUUGGCAAAUGCAGCAUCUGCAAAAAUUCACAACCAUAAUUUUGUUGUAAGCUAUCCAAGAUUUCCCUUCGUUAUUUGCUAAGGUGUCGUAAGUUUUACAAACGCUUAUGAUACUGACCUCUGUUUUAUUGUAACAGAUUCAAGCAACACCAGUGAAGAGGCUGUGCAAAACUCAUAACACCAUAACGGUGAACGGACAAUUCCCUGGACCAACAUUAGAAGUAAACAACGGGGAUACUUUAGUUGUCAAAGUUGUCAAUAAAGCUCGAUAUAAUGUCACAAUUCACUGGUAAAUUCAUGCAUGCAGAACUCUGGUUAACUGAUAUAUGUUACUCAACAAGAUAGACGCGAUUAUGUGUAAUGACAUUUUCUUUGACAUUUUUAUACUACUUUGUUGUGUUUCAAUAGGCAUGGAGUAAGGCAAAUGAGAACAGGAUGGGCAGAUGGACCAGAAUUUGUCACUCAGUGUCCGAUUAGACCAGGAAAGAGUUACACUUAUCGGUUUACAAUUCAAGGACAAGAAGGAACUCUUUGGUGGCACGCUCACAGCUCGUGGCUCAGGGCUACGGUUUAUGGAGCUCUAAUUAUCCAUCCGAAAGAAGGAGAAUCAUAUCCAUUUGCUCAGCCGAAAAGAGAGACACCAAUUAUGCUUGGUACUACUUCUUCCUUCUCUUCAAUACCAAAAGCUUUGAUCAUUCCUGAAAAUGAAUACUAGUCAUGCAUUUUCUCAUAUAUUCUGUUUCUUAGAAAUUUCGUUGAAAAGAUAGUUUGACGAUGAUGACUAGGUGAGUGGUGGGAUGCAAACCCUAUGGACGUUUAUAAGACGAGCUACAAGAACAGGAGCAGCUCCUAAUGCAUCUGAUGCAUACACCAUUAAUGGUCAACCAGGUGAUCUCUACAAGUGUUCCAGCCAAGGUUAGUUCUAAUCUCAAAUAAUGGAAGCAACUUUACACAUAGUAUAAAGACUAAACUCCACCAAUCCAUGUUACACUAAUGUUCGCCAAACUAUGAUUUGAUAUCGUACCUGUUCUGGACAUGUUAUCAUAGAAAUGAGUUUUUUUGCAGAUACAACCAUAGUCCCUGUGCACUCGGGCGAAACCAACCUCCUUCGAGUUAUCAAUGCUGCACUCAAUCAACAACUUUUCUUUACUGUGGCCAACCACAAACUAACUGUUGUUGGAGCAGAUGCCUCUUAUGUUAAACCCUUCACAACAUCAGUCCUUAUGCUCGGGCCAGGCCAAACAACUGAUGUCUUAAUCACAGCUGAUCAGCAACCAGCUAGAUAUUACAUGGCAGCACGUGCCUAUGCAAGCGCUCAAGGCAACCCCUUUGAUAAUA
rnacentral:lncRNA from 1 species